rnacentral:rRNA from 1 species
AACGAACGCUGGCGGCAUGCCUAACACAUGCAAGUCGAACGAGACCUUCGGGUCUAGUGGCGCACGGGUGCGUAACGCGUGGGAACCUGCCCUUAGGUUCGGAAUAACUCCCCGAAAGGGGUGCUAAUACCGGAUAAUGUCUUCGGACCAAAGAUUUAUCGCCUUUGGAUGGGCCCGAGUGGGAUUAGCUAGUUGGUAGGGUAAAAGCUUACCAAGGCGACGAUCCAUAGCUGGUUUGAGAGGCUGAUCAGCCACACUGGGACUGAGACACGGCCCAGACUCCUACGGGAGGCAGCAGUGGGGGAUAGUGGACAAUGGGCGGAAGCCUGAUCCAGCAAUGCCGCGUGAGUGAUGAAGGCCUUAGGGUUGUAAAGCUCUUUUACCCGGGAUGAUAAUGACAGUACCGGGAGAAUAAGCCCCGGCUAACUCCGUG